GCUAGGCCAGAAGCUUGACGCCUUAAGUACAGCCGCAGACACACUUGGGCCAGAAAUUCAUGGCGAUUUUAGCAAUGUGAAGUGCA